GCAGGCGGGUGGAGGGGGCACUGGGGCAAACAUGGAAGGGAGGGGGAAUACAAGGGAAGGAAUUGGAUACAUAAAGGAAAGGCAACUACGAGGGAACUGUGUGUAGGGGAAAUUGGGAAAGUGUGUAAAUAGGGUGACCUGCUUUACGGGGAAAUAGGGGAAGUGUGUGUAAGGGAAUUGGGGAGUGUUUGACGGCUUUUGUGUUUGUGUUUUUAAAUGUAUAGGUGUUGUGUUUUUUGUGUGUAGGGGUUGUGAAGGGUAGGCUGCUGUGUGUAUAUAUGUGUGUGUGUGUAGAGAGAGAGAGAGAGAGAGAGAGGGAGAGAGAUAUGGGGUUACUCUGGGGAACUCUAGAGAAGGAAGGGAAAGGAAAUGGAAGUGAGGUAAAGAAAGCUAAAUGGGGAAGCGUAGAAGGUAAUGGGUGAAGGUGAUGGGUGUUACUUGUGAUGAUAGGGUGUGUAGAAGGGUACUGGGUGGUGUAGAUGGGUGUCAAAGGCUAUAAAAAAAGGUAUUGCUAAAGACAGGAAUAGAUAUGGAGGUGUAGAAAAUGGUGGAUGAAGAAGGUGGAUGACGAUGGUGGAGAGAAAGGGAAGAAGAAAGGAACGAAGGAAGGAAGGAGGGGAAUGGAAUAACAAGGGAAGGAGGGAAAAGAGGGAAAGAAAGGAAUUGAAAGAUAGAGAAAGAAAGGAGAUGAAAGGAAAGUUAAAGAAAGGGAAGAAGGUGAGGAAUGGAAUGACAGGGAAGGAAAGAAAGGAUAGGAAAAGAGGGAAGAAAGGAAUUGAAAGAUAAAGAAAGGAGAUGAAAGGAAAGGAAAGAAUAGGAAGAGAAAGUUACGAAUGUCUUAUGAUAGAAAGGAAGGAAAGGGAAGGAGAGAAAUGACCAAGGAAGGAAGGAAGAAGGGAAACGAAUGUGUAGAGAAAGAAGGAAGGAAGGAAGGAAGAUAGGAAGGAAAGGAAAGGAGAGAAAUGGCCAAGGAAGGAAAGGGAAGGAGAGAAAUGGCCAAGGAAGGAAAGGGAAGGAGAGAAAUGGCCAAGGAAGGAAGGAAGGGAAAGGAAUGUGUAGAGAAAGAAGGAAGGAAGGAAGAUAGGAAGGGAAGGAAAGAAAAGAAAUAGCCAAAGAAGGAAAGAAGGAAGGGAAAAAAAGGAAUAUUUAAAGGAAGAAAGAAAGAAAGGAAGGAAGGGAAGGGAAGGAAAACCACAAGAAAACAAACAAAAAAAAGGAGAAAGGGAAGCAGCAGAAAGGUAAAACAAAGGAAGGAAAAAAAAGAACAGGUUAACGAGGAAUGUUAGCGUUAGUGCGUUAGUUCGUCCGUUUAGCUCACCUGUGCAUGCGAGGUGGUGGACGGCCCUCGACAGGUGUAUAGUGUGUCUGGGGCAUGGCUUAGACCAGACACCUGCACUCCCUCACACCUGUCUCUGCACCUGAAUGUUAUAGUUACCUGUUACGAGUCUGGGCGCCUGGAAAUUCCUCUCUCCCUCCCUCUCUCUCUCUUUAUCUACCUAUCUAUAUUUCUGUCUGUCUUUCUAUAAUAGUUUGUUGGUUAUUUUCUUUUGCUUUCUUAUUUUUCGUUUUGGCUAUCUCUCUCUCUAUCUGUCUAUCUCUUCUCCCUCCUCUUCCCUAUUUCUCUUCAUUUUUCUUCUUCUUCUUCUUUUAACUAUUUCUCCCCUUGUCUCUCUCUCCCUUCCUUUUCUCCCUCUUCUUCCAUAUUUUCUCUUCUUCUUCUUCUUCUUUUAAUUAUUUCUUGAUCUGUAUCUCCUUAUCUUUCUCUUAAUAGUUUCUUUACUUAACAUAUUUUUCCCUAUUAUUUUUGCUUUCUCUCUCUUUCUCUAAUUGGUUGUUGUUUUCCAUAUUUUUUUCCUCUUUUCUUCAUCUUUUAACUAUCUCUCUAACUCUCUCUAACUCUCUCUCUCAGGUAGAUCACAGUUUUCCAUCCUCUUUACUCUUUCUUCUUCAACUAUCUCUAUCUUUAUCUCUCUCUAGUAGACCAUUUUCCAUCUUUUUCUUCAUUUUUCUUUUAACUUUCCAUCCAUCUUGUCGAUCUCUCUUACAUAUCAAUUUCCAUCUAUCUCACACCUCCACAAGAACGGAGAGUUAGUUCAGAGGCCAAGACCAGUGAUAGCUAGAUGGAUGAGUAGACAAAUGGAUGGAUAGACGGGCUGGAUGCACCUCCGCCCCCCUCUCUCGUACACACCAUUCACCCACCCCUCCACACACAUGUCAAGGGGAAGGCCAACCACGGAAACUUUCAACAGAGGAGCAAAAAAAUAUGAACGGUUGACGAAAUUGUGGCCGGAUUUUGUAGUCCAUUUUAGCGAUCGUGUAAAAAUAUGAGGGUGAUUCUGAUGGCCAAAUUCAUGUUCUGUCAAAAAGUAAGGGUGAUUCUGAUGGCCAAAUUCAUGUUCUGUCAAAAAGUAAGGGUGAUUCUGAUGGCCAAAUUCAUGUUCUGUCAAAAAGUAAGGGUGAUUCUGAUGGCCAAAUUCAUGUUCUGUCAAAAAGUAAGGGUGAUUCUGAUGGCCAAAUUCAUGUUCUGUCAAAAAGUAAGGGUGAUUCUGAUGGCCAAAUUCAUGUUCUGUCAAAAAGUAAGGGUGAUUCUGAUGGCCAAAUUCAUGUUCUGUCAAAAAGUAAGGUUGAUUCUGAUGGCCAAAUUCAUGUUCUGUCAAAUGCAAGGCUGAAGGAUAGUUGUCAAAGAGUGAGGAUGAUUCUGAUGGCCAAAUUCAUGUUCUGUCAAAUGCAAGGCGGAUGGAUGGUUGUCAAAGAGUGAGGUUGAUUCUUAUGGCCAAAUUCAUGUUCUGUCAAAUGCAAGGCAGAAGGAUAGUUGUCAAAAAGUAAGGUUGAUUCUUUAUAGCCAAAUCACCAUCCUGUCAAAUGCAAGGCAGACUCCUAUGGCCAAAUCUAAUGGUCAAAUCAAUGCUCUGUCAAAAAUCUCUAAUAGCCAAAUCAUAGCCCUGUCAAAACCAAGGCCAAAUCUAGUGGUCAAAUCAAUGCUCUGUCAAAUCUCUCUAAAGCCAAAUCGUCCUGUCAAAAUCAAGCUAACUCAUUGCUCUGUCAAAUAUCUCUAUAGCCAAAUCAUAGCCCUGUCAAAAUCAAGCCCAAAUCAUUUUUCUGUCAAAUCUCUAUAUAGCCAAAUUGUCCUGUCAAAUUCUAGGCCAAAUCUUCAAGGCUCUGUCAAAUAUCUAUAGCCAAAUUGUCCUGUCAAAACCAAGGGCAAAUCUAAUGGGCAAAUCAAUGCACUGUCAAAUCUCUCUAAAGCCAAAUCGUCCUGUCAAAAUCAAGGUCAAAUCACUUCUCUGUCAAAUAUCUCUAUAGCCAAAUCAUAGCCCUGUCAAAACCAAGGCCAAGUCUAUGUGGUCAAAUAUCCUGGGAAUGGUGUGUAUGACAAUAGAUAAAUGGAUGAACAUAGAUAGAUAAAUAUAGAUGGAUGAACAGCAAGAGAACAGUAGUGGAUGAAGUUAGUCAUCCGUGCAUCUCUUUAACUCUUUAUAUAUGCACGCCAACCCCCCCCCCCCCCUCUCUUUUUACUCCCCUCUCCCCUCCCCUUCCCCUCCCCCCUUCUCUUUCCCCUCCCCUUCCCUUCCUCUCUCUUUACUUCCCUUUCUCCCCUCCCCAAUCACCUCCUUCCUCUUUACUUCCUCUCUUUCCCCUCCCCUUCUCUUUACUCCCCAUUCACCUCCUCCCCUCCCUCUUUACU